rnacentral:rRNA from 1 species
AUCUCAACGGCCGCGGUAUCUUGACCGUGCAAAGGUAGCAUAAUCACUUGUCUCUUAAAUGGGGACCAGUAUGAAUGGCAUCACACUCCCUAACUGUCUCUUUUCUAAACCUUCUAAACUUCUAUUCACGUGAAGAAACAUGAAUAAAAAAGAUAGACGAGAAGACCCUGUCGAGCUUUAGCUUUUACUAAAUAUUUUAUUAACCUCUAUUACUAAAAGUCAAAUAAAUUUAACUAUAAGCUUUGGUUGGGGCAACCAUGGAGAAAAAAAAUCCUCCAGUUAACAAGAAGAUUUCAAAUCACUUACUAAAUCUUUACAAAGAGAACCAGUAAAUUCUGGAAAACGGAAAAAGUUACCGCAGGGAUAACAGCGUUAUCUUCUCUAAGAGUCCUUAUUGACGAGAAGGUUUGCGACCUCGAUGUUGGAUUGGGGUAACCAAAAGGUGCAGCAGCUUUUAUUGGUUGGACUGUCGUCCGUUAAAACCCU